rnacentral:rRNA from 1 species
AACGAACGCUGGCGGCAUGCCUAACACAUGCAAGUCGAACGAACCCUUCGGGGUUAGUGGCGCACGGGUGCGUAACGCGUGGGAAUCUGCCCUUUGCUUCGGAAUAACAGUUAGAAAUGACUGCUAAUACCGGAUAAUGUCUUCGGACCAAAGAUUUAUCGGCAAAGGAUGAGCCCGCGUAGGAUUAGCUAGUUGGUGGGGUAAAAAGCUCACCAAGGCGACGAUCCUUAGCUGGUCUGAGAGGAUGAUCAGCCACACUGGGACUGAGACACGGCCCAGACUCCUACGGGAGGCAGCAGUGGGGAAUAUUGGACAAUGGGCGAAAGCCUGAUCCAGCAAUGCCGCGUGAGUGAUGAAGGCCUUAGGGUUGUAAAGCUCUUUUACCAGGGAUGAUAAUGACAGUACCUGGAGAAUAAGCUCCGGCUAACUCCGUGCCAGCAGCCGCGGUAAU